UACGAAGGGGGCUAGCGUUGUUCGGAAUUACUGGGCGUAAAGCGCACGUAGGCGGAUGUUUAAGUUAGGGGUGAAAUCCCAGGGCUCAACCCUGGAACUGCCCUCGAUACUGGCGAUCUCGAGUCCGGAAGAGGUGAGUGGAACUCCUAGUGUAGAGGUGGAAUUCGUAGAUAUUAGGAAGAACACCAGUGGCGAAGGCGGCUCACUGGUCCGGUACUGACGCUGAGGUGCGAAAGCGUGGGGAGCAAACAGG
rnacentral:rRNA from 1 species